UACAGAGGUCCCAAGCGUUGUUCGGAUUUACUGGGCGUAAAGGGUGCGUAGGUGGUGAGGUAAGUCUGAUGUGAAAUCUCCGAGCUUAACUCGGAAAUGGCAUUGGAAACUACCUUGCUAGAGGGUUGGAGGGGGGACUGGAAUUCUCGGUGUAGCAGUGAAAUGCGUAGAUAUCGAGAGGAACACCAGUGGCGAAGGCGAGUCCCUGGACACUUCCUGACACUGAGGCACGAAAGCUAGGGGAGCAAACAGG
rnacentral:rRNA from 1 species